rnacentral:tRNA from 1 species
GCCAUGACGUGCGCGGUGGAGUGGCGCAGGAUGUUCAGGCCGUCCUCGGAGGAGAUCUCGACGCCCUCGACGGUCUCGCCGUCGGCCGGGGCG